rnacentral:rRNA from 1 species
UCCUGGCUCAGGAUGAACGCUAGCUACAGGCUUAACACAUGCAAGUCGAGGGGCAGCGGGAUUGAAGCUUGCUUCAAUUGCCGGCGACCGGCGCACGGGUGAGUAGCGCGUAUCCAACCUUCCGUACACUCAGGGAUAGCCUUUCGAAAGAAAGAUUAAUACCUGAUGGUAUGAUGAGAUUGCAUGAUAGCAUCAUUAAAGAUUUAUCGGUAAAAGAUGGGGAUGCGUUCCAUUAGGCAGUUGGCGGGGUAACGGCCACCAAACCUUCGAUGGAUAGGGGGUUCUGAGAGGAAGGUCCCCCACAUUGGAACUGAGACACGGUCCAAACUCCUACGGGAGGCAGCAGUGAGGAAUAUUGGUCAAUGGACGAGAGUCUGAACCAGCCAAGUAGCGUGAAGGAUGACUGCCCUAUGGGUUGUAAACUUCUUUUAUACGGGAAUAAAGUGGGCUAUGUAUAGCUUUUGUAUGUACCGUAUGAAUAAGGAUCGGCUAACUCCGUG